ensembl:misc_RNA 7SK 7SK RNA
GGAUGUGAGGGCUAUCUGGCUGCGACAUCUGUCACCCCAUUGAUCGCCAGGGUUGAUUCGGCUGAUCUGGCUGGCUAGGCGGGUGUCCCCCUCCUCCCUCACCGAUCCAUGUGCGUCCCUCCCGAAGCUGCGCGCUCGGUCGAAGAGGACGACCUUCUCCCCCAAGGAGAGGACCGGUCUUCAGUCAAGGGUAUACGAGUAGCUGUGCUCCCCUGCUAGAACCUCCAAACAAGCUCUCAAGAAGGUGGAAAAUAAAAAGAAUAUCAUAUAUAUAAUUUAUAUCUAUAAUGUAUAUAUUAUACAAUAAUAAUAUAU